UACAGAGGUCCCGAGCGUUGUUCGGAUUCACUGGGCGUAAAGGGUGCGUAGGUGGUGGGGUAAGUCUGAUGUGAAAUCUCCAGGCUCAACCUGGAAAAGGCAUUGGAAACUACCCUGCUGGAGGGUUGGAGGGGGGACUGGAAUACUGGGUGUAGCAGUGAAAUGCGUAGAUAUCCAGUGGAACACCAGUGGCGAAGGCGAGUCCCUGGACAACACCUGACACUGAGGCACGAAAGCCAGGGGAGCAAACAGG
rnacentral:rRNA from 1 species